rnacentral:rRNA from 1 species
UACAGAGGUCUCGAGCGUUUGUUCGGAUUCAUUGGGCGUAAAGGGCGCGUAGGCGGCGGGGUAAGUCUGGUGUGAAAUCUAGGAGCUCAACUCCUAAACUGCACUGGAUACUGCUCUGCUGGAGGACUGGAGAGGAGACUGGAAUUCACGGUGUAGCAGUGAAAUGCGUAGAUAUCGUGAGGAAGACCAGUGGCGAAGGCGGGUCUCUGGACAGUUCCUGACGCUGAGGCGCGAAGGCCAGGGGGAGCAAACGGGG